rnacentral:sRNA from 1 species
AGAUGCUAAUAUUCCACUUGUAUGAAAGAUGAAAAUUCAUGUAUAAUAUUACAUUUUAAAAGUUCAUCCUCUAUUUUAAAUAGAAAAUGAGAAGGCAGGCCAGGCGCGGUGGCUCACGCCUGUAAUCCCAGCAUUUUAGGAGGCCCAGGCGGGUGGAUCACAAGGUCAGGAGUUCAAGACCAGCCUGGCCAACACGGUGAAACCCUGUCUCUACUACAAAUACAAAAAUUAGCUGGGCGUGGUGGCAGAUGCACUGUAAUCCCAGCUACUCGGGAGGCUGAGGCAGAGAAUUACUUGAACCCAGGAGGCAGAGGUUGCAGUGAGCCUAGAUUGCGCCACUGCACUCCAGUCUGGGCGACAGAGUGAGACUCUGUCUCAAAAAAAAAAAAAAAAAAAGAAAAUGAGAAGGUAAAAAUAUGGCUUAAUAUUGAUAGAAUGUCAUAUUUCUUUUCCACUUAGAUUAGUUUUCUACAGUAGCUAAUUUGUCUACUGAUUUGUCUCAUAGGUUAAUAGUAUUCUAACCCAUAUAGAGAUAGGUACAGAGAAGUAUUGACCACAUUAUUUUCACUGCUUCACAGUAAGUGCAGGCAGUAAAACUUGUUUUAGAAUGCCAAACCUCAAGCUUGAGACCCAGUAGAUCCUGUGGCCUCUCAAACUGCCUUGCUUAAAAUAAACCAAGCUGAGUUGGCAGCCUUUGAUGAUGCUGUAACCCUGUGUUUGCUUGUCUGUCUUUACUGCCAGAUGGUGCGCUCCAUGAGUACAAACUCUUGUUUAUCCUCAGACCCUAGGCCAGGGCCUUGUGCACAGAAGAUGCUUACCUCGAUCUCUUUACCAGCCAUUUUCUGUAGUCCCACAUGUACCUUCAAAGUCAUAUCCUAAGUGAACACAUCCUUUCCUUCAUCUCGCCCAGCCCCAAAUCUGCUCCCCUUCCCCUGAUCAGUCAUCCCAGAGAAUGGCCCCAACAGGAAUUUGCCCAACUCUCUGAAGUCGUACCAUUCCUCCCCAGCCUUCUUGACUAUGCUUCAGCCACUCCAGGCUUCUUUCCAUUCCUCAAAUGUGGCAAGUCUAUUCUCACAUCACAGUCUUUGCAUCCAUUCCUUCUCUGGAAUGCUCAUUCUCUAGAUCUUUUCCUAGCUGACUCCUUCUCAUCUUUCAGGUUUCAGCUCUCCUCCUGAGAGAGGUCUCCCCUAACUGUACCAGGCCAAUUGGUUCCCUUUCAGUCACUCUCCAUGCCAUUUCCAGCUUUCUUUUCUUCAUAUUUCUGAUCACUAUUUACUUAAGCAAUAGUUAAUUUGCUUUGCUGUCUGUCUCCAUCUACUAGAACAUAAGCUCCAUGCAGACAGAGAUAUAAUCUGUUCUGUUCACUGCCAUAUGCACAGCACAUGGAAUAAUGCCUGGCUAUAGUCAAUGCUCAUAAGCAUUUGCUGGAUGAAUUACAUAGAUGAAUGAAAUAUCAUUUAGUAUGUUGGCCAUCAUUAGGUCAAAAUCCACCUAACUGCUCAGCUAGAAAUUUUACACUAUCUCUCUUUUUCAUUAUCCUGUAGCAAUACAUCAUUAUGUUUUGUCAAUCCAUUUACAUAAGCAACUCUCAAAUCUUCCCAUUUUCUCCAUCCCUACUGCCUUUAUUCUAGGGAUGGCCAUCAUCAUCUCUUUACUUAAUUACUCAGUCUCCUCAAGAUGAGUCUCAAAGCCUCUAGUCUUAACUCCCUUAUCUUCCUUCUACUCCUACCUUGCAAUCUGUUUCUCAUGCUGCAGUCAAAGUGAUUUUCUGAAACCACGAAUGUGAUCUGAUCUCAACAUUCUCAUGUUUAAAAUAUUACAAGAGCUCUCCACACUUAGGAUAAAGUCAGAAUUUCAUUUCAUGGUUAACAAGGUCUGGCCUUUCCAGACACAUUUCUUUUUAUCCUUCUUUGUUAACUUACGUAUCCCUGAACGUGGCAUUCUUUCUUGCCCUAAACCUUCACGCCUGCUAUUUCCUCUAUAGGAAGUUUCUCUCCUCCCUACAUGAACCUACUCCUUCCCCUUGUUGACUGUUUAGUCCUUGCUUAAAUGUCACUUUCUCAGACUUUUCCUAAUCCCUAAUCUUUCUUAGGCCCCCCUGAAGUAUGCUCCCAUGGUACCCAAUAUUUUCAACAUGUCAGACUGUUUUGCAAUGGCUUACUUUCUUGCCUGUAUUCUUUACAAAAUUGGAAGCUUAACAUGGGUAUCUCAUCUCUGCUUUGCAGCAUUUAGCAUGAUGCUGGCACAGAGUAGGUGCUCAACAAAUAUUUCUUGAAUAAUGAAUGAUGAGUUUGAUAAUAAAUGAAAAAGAAUCACUAUAGUUGAAUAUUUUGCACACCAUUAUCUGAUUCUUAUAAAUAUAAUCUCUAUGUUGCUUUGUGACCAAUGACAUUUGUAUUGUGAACACCUGCAUUCCUUAACAGGGUAUUGGAACUGAUGAGUUUACUCUGAACCGAAUAAUGGUGUCCAGAUCAGAAAUUGACCUUUUGGACAUUCGAACAGAGUUCAAGAAGUAUUAUGGCUAUUCCCUAUAUUCAGCAAUUAAAUCGGAUACUUCUGGAGACUAUGAAAUCACACUCUUAAAAAUCUGUGGUGGAGAUGACUGAACCAAGAAGAUAAUCUCCAAAGGUCCACAAUGGGCUUUCCCAACAGCUCCACCUUACUUCUUCUGAUACUAUUUAAGAGAACAAGAAAAUAUAAACAGCAACUUGUGUUCCUAACAGGAAUUUUCAUUGUUCUAUAACAACAACAACAAAAGCGAUUAUUAUUUUAGAGCAUCUCAUUUAUAAUGUAGCAGCUCAUAAAUGAAAUUGAAAAUGGUAUUAAAGAUCUGCAACUACUAUCCAACUUAUAUUUCUGCUUUCAAAGUUAAGAAUCUUUAUAGUUCUAAUCCAUUAAAUAUAAAGCAAGAUAAUAAAAAUUGUUGCUUUUGUUAAAAAUAA